UACAGAGGUGGCAAGCGUUGUUCGGAAUUACUGGGCGUAAAGGGAGCGCAGGCGGCCGAGUCAGUCUGGAGUGCAAGCCCGGGGCUCAACCCCGGAAUUGCUUUGGAUACUACUUGGCUUGAGUACGUCAGAGGUGAGCGGAAUUCCAGGUGUAGCGGUGAAAUGCGUAGAUAUCUGGAGGAACAUCGGUGGCGAAGGCGGCUCACUGGGACGAAACUGACGCUGAGGCUCGAAAGCGUGGGGAGCGAACGGG
rnacentral:rRNA from 1 species